rnacentral:lncRNA from 1 species
GUUGUGCCUCUCACCCUGGGUUAUGAGUGCCAUCCACUUUGCCAUCAUCUGGAGGUCUGUACUAAAAUCCACGGCGAUGGACUGGGCGUCAUGCAGAGUUUUAUGGUCAUCAGGUCUCAGCUGUAAGGAAUGAAUUCUGCUGGCCCCCAGCUUCCAGAUUGUCAGGGAGCUUAUCCUGAUAGCAAACCAGUCUGAUUCUUCGUCCUUCCACCCAGUGAUCUUGGUAAUCCCCUCUGGAGCCAAGCCAAACAGGCCUGAUCUCUCCUGGACAGGAUAGCUCUUCAGACAGGAAGGCAGGGGACGUGUCCCCUCCUCCACCCCCGAGUCUUCUGUAAGCUAAAUACCCCCCAUUCCUCAUGCGGCUUGAACUGAGACUGUUCCAGGAACAGGUAACCACUCUUCGAUUCCUGCCUUACUCCUGGGCACUUGAGUGCCAAGAGAUCCUCCUCAGCGUCUUAUGGGUGGAAAAGACAAUUCUCCACUCUCUCCACAGGAGCAGCCGGAGGCUUAGUACCAGGUGUUGGUGGAAUCCCAGGCAUUGGAAGCGUUGCAGGUGUUCCAGGUGUCGGUGGUGUCCCAGGAGCAGAAAGCCCAGCUGCAGCGGCCAAAGCAGCAGCUAAAGCAGCCAAGUAUGGGGCCAGGGCUGUCCCUGGAGUUGGAGUUCCUGGCUUUGGUGUGGGCCCUGGAGUUGGAGUUCCUGGCUUUGGGGUUGGCGCUGGAGCUGUUCCUGGUGCGGGGGUCGUUCCCGGAGGUAUCCCCGGGACAGCUCUCUCCCCUGCUGCUGCCGCCGCUGCCGCCAAAGCAGCUAAGUAUGGUGCUGGAGGUCUUGGAGGGAUAGUUCCUGGUGCUGGCAUCCCAGGUGUGGGAGUUGUUCCAGGUGGCGUUGGAGGCGUGGUAGGAGGUCCAGGAGCACUGGAUCAAUCUGCAGCUGCAGCCAAAGCCGCCGCUAAAGCUGCCCAGUAUGGGUUAGUCCCAGGUGUGGGAGGACUUGCAGGGGUCCCAGGUGUUCCUGGUGUCGGAGGUCUCCCAGGAGCAGUAUCUCCAGCAGCCCAGGCUGCGGCCAAAGCAGCUGCCAAAGCCCAGUAUAGAGCUGUUCCUGGGAUUGGAGGAGUCCCUGGCUUCCCACCUAGAGCUGUAGAUGGCAUCGUCUCCCCGCCUAGUGUUGGAGUCAUCCCAGGCUUUGGGGCUGGUGUAGCUCCAGGAGCCCUGGCAGCAGCAAAAGCAGCUAAGUAUGGAGCUGGUGGCCUUGGCGGUCUGGGAGGAGGCUUGGUACCUGGUGUGGCUGGCGUCCCAGGAGCAGGAAUUGGAGGUCUAGGAGGUGUUCCAGGAGCAGUUUCCCCAGCUGCAGCCGCAGCGGCCAAGGCUGCUGCCAAAGCUGCCCAGUAUGGCCUUGGAGGAGUUGGAGGUCUGGCAGGCAUCGGAGGGGUCCCAGGCAUUGGAGGCAUCGCAGGGGUCCCUGGAGUGGGCGGAGUAGGAGGUCCAGCUGCAGCCGCUAAAGCCGCUGCCAAAGCAGCUAAGUACGGUGCUGCUGGUGGGGUUGGCCUCGUGCCAGGAAUUGGAGGUUUGCCAGGGACCCGAGUGCUGCCAGGGGCAGGUGUCCCAUCAUUUGGCUAUGGACUUUCACCUAUUUUCCCAGGUGGCGGAGCUGGUGGACUGGGAUUUGGUGGUGGGGCUUGUUUGGGGAAAUUGUGUGGCCGGAAGAGAAAGUAAAUCUUCCCAGGACACCCGACCCGAGACCUCAUGAACUUUGGUGCUACUGCCUAGUCUAGAAUGUAUACCUUGAGUGACUCCCUCUCCCCCUCCCCUCCCCCCUCUUCCCCACCCUUCUCCCAGGGUCAGAUCCUUCUCACUGGAGUGUUCCUACAGCCACCCACCCAUCCGGUGGGGGUAGGGGAUGGGGUGGAGGCACGGGACCACGGGGCAAGCAAACACAAGAACCAGGGGUCAGCUUGGAAUUCUGUCCCCUUCCCUAAAGGAGCUUGGGUAAGGGGAGGGAUCAGAUGCCCUCCUCAUCACCACCACCACCCCAUUCCCACCCAGGAGCUCUCCCCUCUGCGUUCAUGAUCUUGAGGGAAAUAUGGUGCUACUUGUUGGUGCUUAUAACUUUCUUGGGGGUGAGGGAGGAGGGAAGAGGGGGUCCCCUGGAUAAGCCCCUCACCUGGGGGCUCCUCUAAACACAGCCCUGGAGAUUUUCAAGACAUCCAACCCUACCCCCACCAGGAAAGGUCAGCCCAGGACCCACAGUCAUGCUCUCCCACUGGGAUGAGCAGCCUUUGGGGUUGGGCCUGCUUGCCCUACCUUGUACCCGAGCACUUUAAAUCAGCCUCAGUCCUGGUUGCGAGCCAUCCAGAUCUGGCCACCUCUCCCCACCACGCCAGAGGGCUGUCCCUUCAGUCUCUCCCUUGCUGCUCCUCACAUCCAUCCAUGGAGCCAAUAUACCUGAAGACUGGGAACAGCCAUGCCCCUGAUCUUUUUGGAAUUUAUCUUUCCAUCCAUCCGUCCACCCCUCACCCAAAAAAAGUUUACCACCCAGUCUAGCAAGAGGCUCCUGCCCCAGCAGACUUGAAUGUCUUUCAGUGAUGCCCUCCACCUUGUAGGACCUGUCCUGGUCUUCCCCACCUCUACCCCUCGCCCCAGCCCUGCCACCACAUACACUCACACACCCCACUGGCAAGGGGAGACCCCUGCCAUCGGGAGUGUGGGAACGCAUGCAUGUACUCACCAUUGACAGCGACUCCAUCCCCGCCAGGCCUGGGACAGCCAGCACUGCCUAGAACCCCAAGAGGCCCGAGGAUGGGGCUGCGGCGGGAGGGGAACCAGAGGGAAAUGAGGACCCAGAGCUCCCCGCCUAUCCCUGGUAUAUCUCACACAGCAGUACUGUAUCCUCAGUCCCUUGAGCCCCUGGGCGUCGGAGCAACUCUUCCCAACAUUCAGGCCCUGUCUCCGUGUCUCGCUGUGAUAGAUCAAUAAAUAUUUUAUUUUUUGUCCUGGAUACUUGGGG